GGCACAUGUCUGCAGCAGAUGGGACUUGACUCCAGACAUCCUGGACCAGAGGUAGGGACACUACCAUUGCAUCACAAGAGGCCCUCCCUUUAGCCCUCAGGCUAUAAGGAAGAUACCUCCAGCAGACGCAGCACAGCCUACAUUCUUGAGCUUGUGUCUCCAAGGUGGCGUUUAAACUCACAGUCUUCUGACUUCAAAGGUGAGAGCUCUACCCACAGAGUCAUAGCUGUCAGACCAAAAGAUAACCAUUGCUGGUACCCAGUGGUGUUGGCCGCCUCGGUCAGUCUGUGUUUCUGGGGGAAGGGUGUCUGAGAUAUUUCACAGCACCAAAUAUCCAAUGUCUUUGCUUUGUCUUGGGCUUAUCUAUGGAUGCACCAUGAUAGAGUACCUACUGAAGAGGCAUCGGUCUUGGACAACAAGAAGGAUCAUUGCAUGAUAGCUAUAAAUACAACAACAUUGGGUUAAGCAUAAUGACCGGGACUUUAAAGAUAUAUAUAUGUGUUCACGGACUAAAAGCUAAAGGAAAGCUCCCCAUGUCUCCACCUACAGACCGUGCAUGACAUCAGUAGAUAGGUGGAGCCAAUUUAACAUGAGCAUUAACCCCUGCAGAACCAUUAAUUUACACAGCACCAUCCAAAGGACAAGCACUCAGAUUAGGGCAAUAACCCGACACUGCUGUGUCAAUCUAGCUCAUGGACGUAAUUAUCUGGAAUGUAAUUUGAACCUAUAACCAUCAUGAGUCAGCAGUGAGUGUGCUGUGAGCUAAAGCUGACACAGGUUAAUGACGCUGUGGAAUAAAGGUGUU